rnacentral:rRNA from 1 species
GACGAACGCUGGCGGCGUGCUUAACACAUGCAAGUCGAACGGAAAGGCCUUGCUUUUUUGGGGUGCUCGAGUGGCGAACGGGUGAGUAACACGUGAGUAACCUGCCCUUGACUUUGGGAUAACUUCAGGAAACUGGGGCUAAUACCGGAUAGGAGCUCCUGCUGCUUGGUGGGGGUUGGAAAGUUUCGGCGGUUGGGGAUGGACUCGCGGCUUAUCAGCUUGUUGGUGUGGUAGUGGCUUACCAAGGCUUUGACGGGUAGCCGGCCUGAGAGGGUGACAGGCCACAUUGGGACUGAGAUACGACCCAGACUCCUACGGGAGGCAGCAGUGGAGAAUAUAGCACGAUGGGCGGAAGCCUGGUGCAGCAACGCCGCGUGCGGGAUGACGGCCUUCGGGUUGGAAACCGCUUUCGCCUAAGACGAAGCGUGAGUGACGGUAAUGGGUAAAGAAGCACCGGCUAACUACGUG